UUAUGGUUAGGAGGGAGGGAUUUUCAAUUGAGCAGAGGGGAAAGGAUCUGCCCUAACAGGCCCUUGGCACACAUAGGAGGAGCAGUUUACUUUUCAUCAUGGAGUAGGAUGUGCAGGGCAGAGCCGUUCAGGUCUGUGUCAUGUCCUUUGUCCGGUCUGUGUUUCGUGUCUUACACUUUACAGUCACUGUGUCUUUGCUUCCUGCCCUCAAAGGUCUUAUCUGAGAUGUCAAAGCAUCAUUCCUAGAGUCUUGAACCUCUGCACUGCCCAGCCCAGUGCCCAUACCAUCCGUUCUUUGGCUCACUAGCUUGGACAUGCAUCGGAAUCACAUCUGAGAAGUGUCAGGUCAGGUGUCUUUUACAGCCUCCUUACAGGUUGUAUCGGUGGCUGUGCCAUGCAGUCAUCCCUUGUCAUCCCACCUAGGACUUGUGAGAAUCUAAGAAGAUUCUGAACAUAGCAUUGUCUCCCAUCCAUCUUAGCAAUUUUGUAGGCAGUUCUUGUCCCAGGCCAUUCUGUUAGAGUGUGUUUUCAGGCUCCUCAGAGCCUCCUCCGUUCAGUCUCGCCGUAUCCUCCGUCUUCUCGUGCGGUAGCACAUCCAUUUUGGCGUCGUUCCUUUCUCAGAGUUCUCUCUCCUCGUUGCACCACAGCACUUGUCUGGAAAUGUGUCCUUGGAGUUUGUGUUGGGCCUGGAACUGCUCUGCCCUGCAGUGUAGACUUGGGGCAUCAGAGAGGCUGGAUGUAAAGCAGAGAUGAACAGAGGAGGCUGGAGGAGCACAGUCAGAAGAUGCAGAGCCCUCAGCCCAGCAGAGGACAGGCACCAGAGGGAAGGUGAGCCCGGUGAGCAAGGCAGUGCACAGACUUCUAACGUGCAGUCCAACGUGACAGGGACCCUGCCUGUAAGAGGUCACGGUCAAGGGGUGUCAGACAGAAACUGCCAUGGGAGCAGCAAACUCUUGGGCAGUAUCUAAGUACUCACAGUUGCCUCUGGGUUUUUUUGCAGGAGACGUAGGCAGCCUCAGAUGGCCGAAGCCAACUCACAGUGAGGUGCCAUCCAGCUAACCUUUGGGAGCCGAUGAGCAUUGGAGGU